rnacentral:rRNA from 1 species
UAGCGUAAUCACUUGUUCUUUAAUUGAGGACUAGUAUGAAUGGCCCCACGAGGACUAAACUGUCUCCUUUUUCUAAUCAAUGAAACUGAUCUCCUCGUGAAGAAGCGAGGAUAGAUAUAUAAGACGAGAAGACCCUAUGGAGCUUUAAACAACCGGGAUACUUGCUAAUUCUUAAUCCAUUUUCUGAAAACUAAACAAAUUAAAGCAUCUUACCCCCUAGUUUUAGGUUGGGGUGACCACGGAGAAAAAAUCAACCUCCACGCUGUAAGAAGCCUCCCAUCUUCUAAGCUGAGAGUUACAUCUCUAAGCAUCAACACAUUGACUCCCAUUGACCCAAUAAUUUGAUCAACGAACCAAGUUACCCUAGGGAUAACAGCGCAAUCUACUUUGAGAGCUCAUAUCGACAAGUAGGUUUACGACCUCGAUGUU